UACGAAGGGGGCUAGCGUUGUUCGGAAUUACUGGGCGUAAAGCGCGCGCAGGCGGCUAUCCAAGUCAGUGGUGAAAGCCCGGAGCUCAACUCCGGAACUGCCAUUGAAACUGUUUAGCUGGAGUAUGAGAGAGGUGAGUGGAAUUCCCAGUGUAGAGGUGAAAUUCGUAGAUAUUGGGAAGAACACCGGUGGCGAAGGCGGCUCACUGGCUCGUAACUGACGCUCAUGCACGACAGCGUGGGGAUCAAACAGG
rnacentral:rRNA from 1 species